rnacentral:rRNA from 1 species
AUGGCUCAGGAUGAACGCUAGCUACAGGCUUAACACAUGCAAGUCGAGGGGCAGCAUGAGAUUAGCUUGCUAAUCUUGAUGGCGACCGGCGCACGGGUGAGUAACGCGUAUCCAACCUUCCCCCUACUCAGGCAUAGCCCGGUGAAAACCGGAUUAACUCCUGAUAGUUUCACUAGAUGGCAUCUGACGGUGAAUAAAGCUCAGCGGUAAGGGAUGGGGAUGCGUCUGAUUAGCUUGUUGGCGGGGUAACGGCCCACCAAGGCGACGAUCAGUAGGGGUUCUGAGAGGAAGGUCCCCCACAUUGGAACUGAGACACGGUCCAAACUCCUACGGGAGGCAGCAGUGAGGAAUAUUGGUCAAUGGGCGCGAGCCUGAACCAGCCAAGUAGCGUGCAGGAUGACGGCCCUAUGGGUUGUAAACUGCUUUUGUAUGGGAAUAAAGUCAGGGACGUGUCCCUGUUUGCAUGUACCAUAAGAAUAAGGACCGGCUAAUUCCGUGCCAGCCGCUGC